rnacentral:rRNA from 1 species
CAGUAGCCGCGGGAAUACGGAGGGGGCUAGCGUUGUUCGGAGUUACUGGGCGUAAAGCGCACGUAGGCGGCUUGGUAAGUUAGAGGUGAAAGCCUGGAGCUCAACUCCAGAAUUGCCUUUAAGACUGCCGAGCUAGCAGGUGAGAGAGGUAAGUGGAAUUCCGAGUGUAGAGGUGAAAUUCGUAGAUAUUCGGAAGAACACCAGUGGCGAAGGCGGCUUACUGGCUCAUACUGGACGCUGAGGUGCGAAAGCGUGGGGAGCAAACAGGAUUAGAUACCCGAGUAGUCCCUGUCUCUUAUAA